ACGAACGCUAGCGGCAGGCCUAACACAUGCAAGUCGAGGGGUAGAAAGUGCUUGCACUUUUGAGACCGGCGCACGGGUGCGUAACGCGUAUGCAAUCUACCUUGUACAGAGGGAUAGCCCGGAGAAAUCCGGAUUAAUACCUCAUAGUAUUAUAGAGUGGCAUCAUUUUAUAAUUAAAGUUUUAACGGUACAAGAUGAGCAUGCGUCCCAUUAGUUAGUUGGUGUGGUAACGGCACACCAAGACUGUGAUGGGUAGGGGUCCUGAGAGGGAGAUCCCCCACACUGGUACUGAGACACGGACCAGACUCCUACGGGAGGCAGCAGUGAGGAAUAUUGGUCAAUGGAGGCAACUCUGAACCAGCCAUGCCGCGUGCAGGAAGACGGUUCUAUGGAUUGUAAACUGCUUUUGUACAGGAAGAAAUUAUCCCUCGUGAGGGAGCUUGACAGUACUGUAAGAAUAAGGAUCGGCUAACUCCGUGC
rnacentral:rRNA from 1 species